GCGGCGAGCGAACGGGGAGGAGCCCAGAGCCUGAAUCAGUGUGUGUGUUAGUGGAAGCGUCUGGAAAGGCGCGCGAUACAGGGUGACAGCCCCGUACACAAAAAUGCACAUAUUGUGAGCUCGAUGAGUAGGGCGGGACACGUGGUAUCCUGUCUGAAUAUGGGGGGACCAUCCUCCAAGGCUAAAUACUCCUGACUGACCGAUAGUGAACCAGUACCGUGAGGGAAAGGCGAAAAGAACCCCGGCGAGGGGAGUGAAAAAGAACCUGAAACCGUGUACGUACAAGCAGUGGGAGCCUCUUUAUGGGGUGACUGCGUACCUUUUGUAUAAUGGGUCAGCGACUUAUAUUCUGUAGCAAGGUUAACCGAAUAGGGGAGCCGAAGGGAAACCGAGUCUUAACUGGGCGUUAAGUUGCAGGGUAUAGACCCGAAACCCGGUGAUCUAGCCAUGGGCAGGUUGAAGGUUGGGUAACACUAACUGGAGGACCGAACCGACUAAUGUUGAAAAAUUAGCGGAUGACUUGUGGCUGGGGGUGAAAGGCCAAUCAAACCGGGAGAUAGCUGGUUCUCCCCGAAAGCUAUUUAGGUAGCGCCUCGUGAAUUCAUCUCCGGGGGUAGAGCACUGUUUCGGCAAGGGGGUCAUCCCGACUUACCAACCCGAUGCAAACUGCGAAUACCGGAGAAUGUUAUCACGGGAGACACACGGCGGGUGCUAACGUCCGUCGUGAAGAGGGAAACAACCCAGACCGCCAGCUAAGGUCCCAAAGUCAUGGUUAAGUGGGAAACGAUGUGGGAAGGCCCAGACAGCCAGGAUGUUGGCUUAGAAGCAGCCAUCAUUUAAAGAAAGCGUAAUAGCUCACUGGUCGAGUCGGCCUGCGCGGAAGAUGUAACGGGGCUAAACCAUGCACCGAAGCUGCGGCAGCGACACUAUGUGUUGUUGGGUAGGGGAGCGUUCUGUAAGCCUGUGAAGGUGGCCUGUGAGGGUUGCUGGAGGUAUCAGAAGUGCGAAUGCUGACAUAAGUAACGAUAAAGCGGGUGAAAAGCCCGCUCGCCGGAAGACCAAGGGUUCCUGUCCAACGUUAAUCGGGGCAGGGUGAGUCGACCCCUAAGGCGAGGCCGAAAGGCGUAGUCGAUGGGAAACAGGUUAAUAUUCCUGUACUUGGUGUUACUGCGAAGGGGGGACGGAGAAGGCUAUGUUGGCCGGGCGACGGUUGUCCCGGUUUAAGCGUGUAGGCUGGUUUUCCAGGCAAAUCCGGAAAACCAAGGCUGAGGCGUGAUGACGAGGCACUACGGUGCUGAAGCGACAAAUGCCCUGCUUCCAGGAAAAGCCUCUAAGCAUCAGGUAACAUCAAAUCGUACCCCAAACCGACACAGGUGGUCAGGUAGAGAAUACCAAGGCGCUUGAGAGAACUCGGGUGAAGGAACUAGGCAAAAUGGUGCCGUAACUUCGGGAGAAGGCACGCUGAUAUGUAGGUGAAGCGACUUGCUCGUGGAGCUGAAAUCAGUCGAAGAUACCAGCUGGCUGCAACUGUUUAUUAAAAACACAGCACUGUGCAAACACGAAAGUGGACGUAUACGGUGUGACGCCUGCCCGGUGCCGGAAGGUUAAUUGAUGGGGUUAGCGGUAACGCGAAGCUCUUGAUCGAAGCCCCGGUAAACGGCGGCCGUAACUAUAACGGUCCUAAGGUAGCGAAAUUCCUUGUCGGGUAAGUUCCGACCUGCACGAAUGGCGUAAUGAUGGCCAGGCUGUCUCCACCCGAGACUCAGUGAAAUUGAACUCGCUGUGAAGAUGCAGUGUACCCGCGGCAAGACGGAAAGACCCCGUGAACCUUUACUAUAGCUUGACACUGAACAUUGAGCCUUGAUGUGUAGGAUAGGUGGGAGGCUUUGAAGUGUGGACGCCAGUCUGCAUGGAGCCGACCUUGAAAUACCACCCUUUAAUGUUUGAUGUUCUAACGUUGGCCCGUAAUCCGGGUUGCGGACAGUGUCUGGUGGGUAGUUUGACUGGGGCGGUCUCCUCCUAAAGAGUAACGGAGGAGCACGAAGGUUGGCUAAUCCUGGUCGGACAUCAGGAGGUUAGUGCAAUGGCAUAAGCCAGCUUGACUGCGAGCGUGACGGCGCGAGCAGGUGCGAAAGCAGGUCAUAGUGAUCCGGUGGUUCUGAAUGGAAGGGCCAUCGCUCAACGGAUAAAAGGUACUCCGGGGAUAACAGGCUGAUACCGCCCAAGAGUUCAUAUCGACGGCGGUGUUUGGCACCUCGAUGUCGGCUCAUCACAUCCUGGGGCUGAAGUAGGUCCCAAGGGUAUGGCUGUUCGCCAUUUAAAGUGGUACGCGAGCUGGGUUUAGAACGUCGUGAGACAGUUCGGUCCCUAUCUGCCGUGGGCGCUGGAGAACUGAGGGGGGCUGCUCCUAGUACGAGAGGACCGGAGUGGACGCAUCACUGGUGUUCGGGUUGUCAUGCCAAUGGCACUGCCCGGUAGCUAAAUGCGGAAGAGAUAAGUGCUGAAAGCAUCUAAGCACGAAACUUGCCCCGAGAUGAGUUCUCCCUGAGACUUAGAGUCUCCUGAAGGAACGUUGAAGACGACGACGUUGAUAGGCCGGGUGUGUAAGCGCAGCGAUGCGUUGAGCUAACCGGUACUAAUGAACCGUGAGGCUUAACCUUACAACGCCGAAG
rnacentral:rRNA from 1 species